rnacentral:sRNA from 1 species
CCACAGCCCCAUCCCCAGCUCCAGUCCUUCCAGGAUUCGCCUCAGCAUUCAGUUCCAAUUUCAACUCCGCUCUUGUUGCACAAGCCGGUUUAUCAUCCGGACUUCAAGCUGCAGGCAGUUCUGUUUUUCCAGGCCUUUUGUCCCUCCCGGGUAUCCCUGGGUUUCCUCAGAAUCCUUCACAAUCAUCCUUGCAAGAAUUACAGCAUAAUGCGGCUGCACAGUCAGCAUUGUUACAGCAGAGCAACAUCAGAAUUGCCUAAGAACUGCAAUGAACAAUCUGACAAAUGUGAAGCUGGCCAAAAGUCGGAAAAUGAGAAUGAGGGUAAUCCUGGAGAAAUUGUGACAACAAUUUGAAAAUUGUGGUUGCAUUUUAAAGUGUGAACACUCCCCUUUGUAAAUAUGCUGACAAUAAAUUGUAUGGAGAAUGGUAUUUAAAA